rnacentral:rRNA from 1 species
CCUACGGGAGGCAGCAGUGGGGAAUUUUGCGCAAUGGGGGCAACCCUGACGCAGCAACGCCGCGUGAGUGAUGAAGGCCUUCGGGUCGUAAACCCCUGUCAGGAGGGACGAAGCCCUGAUCAUAUAUCAGGGUGACGGUACCUCCAGAGGAAGCCCCGGCUAACUACGUGCCAGCAGCCGCGGUAAUACGGAGGGUGCAAGCGUUGUUCGGAAUUAUUGGGCGUAAAGCGCGUGUAGGCGGCCCGAUAAGUCUGGUGUGAAAGCCCUUGGCUCAACCAAGGAAGUGCACCUGAAACUGUCGGGCUAGAGUACUGGAGAGGAGAGUAGAAUUCCCAGUGUAGAGGUGAAAUUCGUAGAUAUUGGGAGGAACACCGGUGGCGAAGGCGGCUCUCUGGACGGAUACUGACGCUGAGGGACGAAAGCCAGGGGAGCGAACGGGAUUAGAUACCCCGGUAGU